AAGAAUAAGCAUAAAAAUUUUGCUUGCGAGUUCUCACAUAUCCAGAAUUUUUCUCACUUUGUUAUUGAUAAAUUUAUAUAAAAUUGUUAAAUUUGCUAAAUUGUGCUAAAAGGAUAUAACAUAUAAAAGUUUCGUAAAUAAGCAUAAAAUAAGUGUGAGUGCGCAAAGUUGAAAUUGCUGCCUUGCGUUGGCUUAUUGAGAUUAUUGGUUGAUUGGAAUAGGUGUAGAAAAUCGGUGUUGAUGUUGAAGGAGGCGCGGCUGCAGCACUGAUUGGGUCGCCGUCGCAAAGGAACGAAAUGCAGUAGUAAUUUUUAACCUGUCAUAUACUCGUAUGUUGUCAUCACUGACUCACUCCGCACCGUUCGUUGUGAGUCGCAAAUCACUGCUGCAUACAGGCCAAAAUAUUUAUAGAAAUGUGGAUGCUGCCAUACAUAAGGAUAAACUUGGUUCACCGACUGGAGGCUUAGAUGACGGUAAUUUAGCAGCUUUUGGUAUAAACGCACUAAUGGCCACAGGAGGUAUCGACAUGGGUGACUUGGCCCAGGAAUUAGAUCAGGAUGAGUUUGAUGGCCCAAAUAUGUUGAAUGGUGAACGACCAGCCAUAAUUGCACCACCGGAGAGUGAAUGGUAUCAUGGGCGUUUGGAUCGUUAUUCAGCUGAAUCUCGACUACGCGGAACUGGCAAAUUAGGCAGUUAUUUGGUUCGUGAAAGCGAUCGCAAGCCUGGUUCAUAUGUAUUAAGUUAUUUAGGACGCACUGGCAUUAAUCAUUUUCGCAUUACUGCCGUGUGUGGUGAUUUCUAUAUUGGCGGACGUCAAUUCGUGUCGUUGAGCGAUCUCAUUGGCUAUUACACCUCAUGCAGUGAUUUGUUGAAACGUGAGCGCCUGGUGCUACCAGUGCCACCGCCGGAGCCGGUGAACGAUAAGAAGCGUGUUGUGGCACAUUUACCCUAUACCAAAAUGGCUGACACAGAUGAGUUAAGCUUUCAAAAGGGUGAUAUAUUUUUUGUGCACAAUGACAUGGGCGACGGUUGGUUGUGGGUGACAGCUCAUCGCACUGGAGAGCAGGGCAUGAUCUUCCGUGAACUAGUCGAGGAUUUGGAUCCGGCAAUCGACCCAAAUACGGUGUUUCCUUGGUUCCAUCCGAAUUGCACUAAGAAUGAAGCAGUUGACAUGCUGGUGAAAGCCGGCCCAGGCAGUUUUUUGGUGCGCCCAAGCGAUAAUUCGCCUGGCGAUUAUUCGCUCUUCUUUCACAUUAAUAAUCAAAUCCAGCGUUUUCGCAUUGAAAAGAAAGGCGUACGUUAUCUGAUGGGCGGGCGCACUUUCGAGUGCUUGGAUGCGGUGAUCAAUCGCUAUCGCAAAGAACAAAUCGUCGAAGGUCACUCACUCAGUCAUCCAGUGGUUAACGGUUCACAGCCUGAAUUCAAUCAACAGUUUGUGGUGGAGAAGGCAGCUGAAAAAAUUUAUGCCACUCUGCGCGAAUGUCGCGAUCAAAUCGGUUUGAAGAAGUUAAACGGCAUCAAACAUCACGGCCCUUUGUUCAAGAAGUCUGAUAAGACAGCCAAAUGGAAGCAAUUGUACUUUGCGCUUAUCAGCGAGGGCAGCGAAACACAUCUCUGUUUCUAUGACAAUCCGAAAAAGACUAAACCGAAGGGUCUCAUCGAUCUAUCGUGUGCGUAUUUAUACCAGUGCCAUGAAUCGCUAUGGGAGCGGCCAUAUUGUUUUCAAAUAGUCGAGCGCGCAUUGCCAUGCUUGGCUAAUAAUACGUAUCUAUGCGCGACGCAAGAGACUUAUGUAAAAUGGAUCAACGCGCUCAAAGCGCAAUGCAGUUCACAAUUCAGUCGGGCGCAAAUCAAAGUGCCGUGUUUGCGCGAGUUGCGCUGCCUGAAUUUACAUGUGCUCGAGGCGCAUAAGCUGCCAUUCAAAUUGGUGCCGCACCCGUACUGCAGCAUCUCGCUGAAUCAAGUGAAGGUGGGUAAGACACGUGUGAAGAUCGCGCCUGAUCCAGUGUGGGAGGAGGAAUUCGUUUUGGACGAUGUGCCUCCGGAUGUAGUCUCGCUCACAAUUACGCUCAUAUCGCGUGGCAAACGCGGCAAAGAUUCGGAAGUCGCUGAGCUUACCAUCGAUUUGGCCAGUCUGAAGAACGGCCAAGAGACGGAGGGCUGGCAUCAGCUCACCGGCAUGACACCCAUGGGCGAGUGGGGUUCGCUACGUUUGCGCAUGCGCUAUUUGGAUGACUUGAUUAUGCCCUGCGAGGAGUAUAGUCCGCUGCAGGAGUUGCUACUCAAGCCCGAAUUGUGCGUGGUUAAAGCUUUGGCCGAACUUUGUCACAAUGAUCGUGUGCCGCUCGCUACGGCGCUGCUACGUGUAUUCCGUCACGAAAAACGCGAAACAGAACUGAUACGCGUACUUUGCCAGGCGGAAAUCGCACGUGAGAACGAAACGACUACACUGUUUCGCGGCGCUUCACUGGCCACCACACUAAUGGAUUUGCACAUGCGCACUGAGUGCUCGCGUUUUUUGCACGCAGCCGUUUCGGAGACGGUGCAGCGCAUACUCGACAGCAAGCAAUCGGCUGAACUCAAUCCCACCAAGAUGGAUGUGAACGAUGAUGCUUGCUCGAAUGCCGAGUUCUUGUUGCAGAUACUCGAUUCGGUGACGCAUUCGAUAUUCACCUCGCCCGAAGCGUGCCCACGUAGUGUGCGCUACAUAUGUAAUUGCCUGCAAAAGGCCGUCGUUGCCAAGUGGCCAACUGAACGUUUGGUACGCACUCGCGUCGUCUCCGGUUUCAUAUUUCUACGUCUCCUUUGCCCGGCACUGCUUAAUCCUCGUCAGUUUGGCCUGGUUAGCGAAACGCCACCAACCAUGGCCACGCGUUCGUUAAUUAUGGUAGCCAAAUGCUUGCAGAAUCUAGCAAAUCUAAUUGAGUUUGGCGGAAAGGAACAAUACAUGGAGGUGGUCAAUCCAUUUAUAUUGAAGAAUAAGGAACGCAUGAUUGUAUUUCUCGAUCAAUUAUCACUCGUUACGGAUCCAAAUCCACCGCCAGGCAUGUUCAACGAACAAAACUCCAAUCAUACUGUGCCGGAUGUGCAGGACACAGUGCAGGAUACUGGUCGCGAACUGGCCACACUCCAUCACAUUUGCGUCUCUUACUUGCCGGAGUUGCAAGGUCUGUCGAACAUACUCUCCAUUAAGAAGUUGGUCACCGUCACCGACAUGCUGACAAAGCAUAAGCUCAAUUAUCGCGAAAAGAUUAGCUAAGAUGAAAAUACCGAUGCAAUCAACAACUCCUGGAGGGUAAUAGCCAAACAGUAACAACUACAACAACAGCAGUCACCAAAAGUCAGAAAUUAGUGUGAAGCGUGAGCAGAAAUCUUUGUUAUUACUUCGUCUUGCUGCAUUUCGACGCACUCCUUUGCAUUGCCGCAGUGUGCUUGCUUUGUUCUUUUCCUGAGCGCUCUCUAUUUUACUUUAGCAAUACGAAAAAUGCUUUUUUUAUUUUUUAAACUUUUAUCAAGUGAAUUUUCGCUUUUAAUAAAUACAUAUUUUAUCCUCAGCUUUAUAAUAUACAUACAUACAGUACAUGGAUUUUCCAUUUUCUGUAAUUUUUAUAUUUUUCAAUACAUUUAUUUAUUAUUAUAGUUGCUUAUAGCGGUUUCUUUCUGUAAAGCUUUUUUAAAUUAAAUACUCCUGCUUAUAAAUAUAUUCUUACACAUAUUACACAUACAUACAUACAUGGAAUGUCUUCUUUUGUAAUUAUAUACAUAUAUACAAUGCAUAAUAUAUAAAUAAUAAUCGAUAAUGCGCCGCGUGGACGGCGUGACGGAAGAGCGUGACGUUGCGUAGAGAAAAACAUUAAAUUUACUAUUUAGCUUUAAAGAAUCUCAAUUAUAAAGAAUGCAAAUAAAUAAAUAAUGUGUAAAAUUAAUGAAAGUUACAACUAAAUACGCAUUUAUACCCUAGUCGAACGUAUAUACAUACAUACAUGCAUACAUAUGUACAUGAAUGAGUACUACACUUUUCCUUUGUAAAGCAUUUAAUUAUUAACGGGAAUUUAAAGAUAAAAUAAUGCAAUGUAUGAACACUUUGUGCAGACACGAGACUGUCAAUGAACAAUAACCAAAUAGAAAUAGCGAAUAUUGGAAUUGCAAGUAAUUUAUAAAAGUUAAAUAUUUUAUGCAAAAACAAAUAAUUUAUUUUAAAUGAAAAACUGUGUAGUGAAAUGUUUAAUUCUAUUUUUUAUUUCUAUUUUAUUUUUUAUUAUUAUUUUUUAUUUUUUUAUAUUUCUUAUUUUUUCUUUAUUUUUUUGUAGUAUUUCACACCAUUUUUUGCUUACAAAUGUAGCUCAAUAUUCAAAAAUUGAUUAUUAUUUUUUUUUUUAAUUUUUUUUAUAUUUUCUUUUAUUGUUUCUUUGAUAAUAUUACCAAAUUUUGUACCGAAAUCAAAUUCGCAUUUUAAUUAAGUUUUUUAUCUUUACAGUUAUCUCUACAUUAGCAAUUCUCUUUACUUUUCCAUAUUUUAACCAGAAAAUUAUUUAUAUUUCUAAAUUCAAUAUUAUUUGAGACUUUUUUUUGUUAUCUUUUCACUUAAAAUAAUUUUUAAGCAAAUUUCCUUGACACCAAUGACUCGCAGGAGGGUUUGAGCCCAGCUCAACCGCAUAAACAAUUACUUCGCCAACCUCUACUUGAGGUGUAGAAGUGAAAUCCGAUCAAAACGCCCCACACAAUUACAAGUAGGCCAAUGAAACCCUUUCCCUCGGGCUCAGAUAGAAAAUUACAUUAAAAAACCAGUAAAGAAACAAGCCAACAAGCUGCUCCUAAACCUAAUCCGAUUUUGUAUUCAUGUAUUCGUAGUUAUUUAUGGCCACAACCUAUAUACACACACACAUACAUAAAUGAGUAGAAAAAGAAUUAGCAAGUCUAAUUGCGAUAAAUAAAUUUAAAGAAGAAAUGUAUUCAUAAAAGCCUAAGCAAAUGAAAAACUAAAUAAACUAAUAAAUAAGUAUAUAAAAUAAUAAUGUGAAACUUGAUGAAUAUGUAAUUGUAUUUGCAAAAUUUAUACAACCAUCAAAAUAAAAAUACGCAUUUAGCAAAAAAAUUAAA
rnacentral:misc_RNA from 1 species